rnacentral:rRNA from 1 species
UACGUAGGGUGCAAGCGUUGUCCGGAAUUAUUGGGCGUAAAGAGCUCGUAGGCGGUUUGUCGCGUCUGCUGUGAAAACCCGAGGCUCAACCUCGGGCCUGCAGCCGAUACGGGCAGACUAGAGUUCGGCAGGGGAGACUGGAAUUCCUGGUGUAGCGGUGAAAUGCGCAGAUAUCAGGAGGAACACCGGUGGCGAAGGCGGGUCUCUGGGCCGAUACUGACGCUGAGGAGCGAAAGCGUGGGGAGCGAACAGG